rnacentral:rRNA from 1 species
GUGGGGAAUAUUGGGCAAUGGAGGAAACUCUGACCCAGCAACGCCGCGUGAAGGAUGAAGGUUUUCGGAUUGUAAACUUCUGUCGCGAGGGAUGAAGAAUGACGGUACCUCGUAAGAAAGCCCCGGCAAACUACGUGCCAGCAGCCGCGGUAAUACGUAGGGGGCGAGCGUUGUCCGGAAUGACUGGGCGUAAAGGGAGUGUAGGCGGCAUAUUAAGUUAUGUGUGAAAGCCCGCGGCUCAACCGCGGAAUUGCACAUAAAACUGGUAAGCUGGAGUGCAGGAGAGGUAAGUGGAAUUCCCGGUGUAGCGGUGGAAUGCGUAGAUAUCGGGAGGAACACCAGAGGCGAAGGCGACUUACUGGACUGUAACUGACGCUGAGGCUCGAAAGCGUGGGGAGCAAACAGGA